GGAACCUGCCUUGGAGUGGGGAAUAACACAGUGAAAAUUGUGCUAAUACCGCAUAAUGCAGUUGGGUCGCAUGACUCUGACUGCCAAAGAUUUAUCGCUCUGAGAUGGCCUCGCGUCUGAUUAGCUAGUUGGUGGGGUAACGGCCCACCAAGGCGACGAUCAGUAGCCGGACUGAGAGGUUGGCCGGCCACAUUGGGACUGAGACACGGCCCAG
rnacentral:rRNA from 1 species